rnacentral:rRNA from 1 species
AUCGAACGCUGGCGGCAGGCCUAACACAUGCAAGUCGAGCGGUAGCACAGGGAGCUUGCUCCUGGGUGACGAGCGGCGGACGGGUGAGUAAUGUCUGGGAAACUGCCUGAUGGAGGGGGAUAACUACUGGAAACGGUAGCUAAUACCGCAUAACGUCGCAAGACCAAAGAGAGGGACCUUCGGGCCUCUUGCCAUCAGAUGUGCCCAGAUGUGGAUUAGCUAGUAGGUGGGGUAACGGCUCACCUAGGCGACGAUCCCUAGCUGGUCUGAGAGGAGGACCAGGCACACUGGAACUGAGACACGGGCCAGACUCCUACGGGAGGAAGCAGUGGGGAAUAUUGCACAAUGGGCGCAAGCCUGAUGCAGCCAUGCCGCGGGUAUGAAGAAGGCCUUCGGGUUGUAAAGUACUUUCAGCGGGGAGGAAGGCGAUAAGGUUAAUAACCUUGUCGAUUGACGUUACCCGCAGAAGAAGCACCGGCUAACUCCGUGCCAGCAGCCGCCGUAA